rnacentral:rRNA from 1 species
AUGCCCGCCUCCAUGCCCAAGCUGCUCUUCCUCCUCCUCCUCCUCCUCGCCGCGGCCGCCCACUCUUCACCGGAGGUGCCGGAUGCGGCGGGAGCGGGGUCCGAGCAGGCGGCGGUGCGCAUGGUGCCGAUGGCCCCGGCUGGGGGGUCGGGGUUCAGCGGGGUGGUGCUGAACGAGACGCGGCGGCGGCUGGGGAGCUUCCAGCUCUGCGCGCCCUGCACCUGCUGCGGCGGGCCCAGGGGCGUCUGCGUCCUCUCCCCGUGCUGCUACGCCAUCAACUGCAACAUCCCCAACCGCCCCUUCGGAUUCUGCUCCUUCACGCCCAGGUCAUGCGACUGCCUCCACUGCAACGUCUGA